rnacentral:rRNA from 1 species
GACGUAGGUGGCGAACGUUAUCCGGAAUUAUUGGGCGUAAAGGGUGUGUAGGCGGCAUGAUAAGUUAUUGGCGGGAAAUCGAGGCUCAACCUCGUGGAAACUAAUAAUACUGUUUUGCUUGAGUACAGGAGAGGUUAACGGGACUCCAUGUGGAGCGGUAAAAUGUGUAGAUAUAUGGAAGAACAUCAAUAACGGCGAAGGCAGUUAACUAUUCUGUUACUGACGUUGAGGCACGAAAGCGUGGGGAGUAAAACGG